GACAAAUAUAAAUAAAGAUCCCCUAAAUGUAAUAUUACUGUAAAACACAAUUAAAGUGCCCAAAAUGAAAAGAGCUGAAGACUUUGGUCCAGAAGCACGGCUGCGGCCACGCCGCUCUGCGCUCAGAGCUUUGGUCCAGAAGUAAUUCCGGAAACUCCAGCAGCCGGGCGGUGCAGGGUCCCAGCAUGUGAUUUCCUGCGGAAGACCACUUCCUGCUGCUCUCUAUGCACUAGGCCUUCCCUGGAAACCUCAGGAUGAUAGCACAUUGCAUGCUGUUCACAGGAAUCCUGGGUGGGAGGGAAAUGCACACGGAGUGGGGGUGGAGGCUGCUCUGUCACAACAGAAGCCAGGUGUGCGCGUAGGGGCACAUGUGUGUGCACACGCGCACUUCAAUGUGUGGCUGCCAGAAGGACCCCCUUUGCCCAGGAUGCAUCUUCUGUCUAACAGAAUACAGCUAGCAUGGUGGUGCACACCUGUAAUCCCAGCACCUGGGAGUCUGAAGCAGGAGGAUUUCUGUGAGUUGGAGGCCAGUCUGAGCUAUGUGGUGAGUUCAAGGUCAGCCUGAACUACAAAGCAAGACUCUAUCUCGAAACAACAACAAUAACCAAAAACAUGUUAUUAAUUAUAGUCAUCAGGUUGUACAAUAAAUCUUUUGAACUUAUUCCUUCAUGCAAGCUAAAACUGUGCAUUUGCUAACCAACACCUCCUCAUUCUGACAACCACUAUGCUACUCGCUGCUUCUGACACAGACUUUUUCAGAUUCUACCUGUAAGUGAGACCAUGAGGUGGUUGUCUUUCCAUGCCUAGCUUAUUUUGCUUAACAUUGUGUCCCCAAGUUCAUAUAUAUUGUCAUCAAUGAUAGGAUUUCCUUCUUUUUAUGGCUGAAUAGUAUUCAGUGUGUGUGUAUUUAAUUCAUUCAUCUGCCAGUGGACAUUAGUUUAAUUCCAUACUUUGGCUUUAUUGUGAAUAAUGCUGCAAUGGUCACUGAUUAGUUUUCUUUGGCGUGGGACUGCUGAAUAACAUGGUCAUUGUAUUUUACAUUUUUGAGGAACUACUAUACUAUUUUCCAUGAUAGCAGAUUAAUUUAUAUUUCAACCAACAGUGUACAAAGUUUCCUUUUUUCCAUAUCCUUUCUAACCAGCACUUCCUAUCUUUUUUUAGGGUACCGAGGGUUGAAUCCAGGGUGUUCUACCACUGAGCGACAUCCCCAGACCUUUUUAUCUUAAAGGCCUGGCCAGGCAUGGUGGCGUACUCCUGUAAUCCCACCACUUGGGAGGCUGAGGCAUGAGGAUCCCAAGUCCAAGCCUAGUCUGGCCAAUUUAGUGAGUCCCUGUCUCAAAAAAGGGCUCGAGAUGUAACUCAGUGCAAAGGGCCUGAGUUCAGUCCCCAGGACGGGGUGGGGGAUGCGUGUGCACUGGGAACAGAGUCUCACUCUAUAUUGCCUGGCUGGCCUUGAACGUGGUCCCAACUAGCUUGGUUUAUAUUUGUGUGCCACCACACCCUGUUCAUCUUUUUCUAUAAUACCCACUGUAACAGACGUGAGGAGAUGCCUAGUGAUCUUACAAUUUUCAAGUUAAAAAACAGUGAGAGUAGCUCUUAAUUUCCUACUUCUAGUCAUCAUGCAACUUGAGUAGUCACUGUGAAGAUCUCUGAAAAUGUGGUACUUCUUUCUCAGUGAAACAGAACACUCAGAACUGUUCUAAUGGACCCAGAGCCUUAAAAUGGAGAAACCUCGCCAGGGUUCCAUUUCUAGCAUGGCUGAAGUCUUGAUUCAAAUUAGGUCCUAUAUCAGGAGAUCCUUGAGAGAGUAAAGUAGUUCCAUGGCAGGUCAGGGCUUCCCUAAAAGGAUUUGGGAUGCUAGGUUUUCAUCUCCCCCCCCCCCCCCAGUAGUAUCAGGGAUUUUCCAAGUUGACUCAGGAUAGAAGUGCCUCUUGUUACAGCUGCCGCAGACACCAUGGGCUGUGGCACCUGUGGGAAUUCCACAUUUACUAAGGGCUGUCCGCCCUGAGAGUAAGAACCCAGCCCGUCCCCAGCUCCAGCAGAGCACGGCGGACCACUGCUGCCUGGGGAGACUGUUGAACAGUGUUAUCCCAAAGAAAGAGAAGUCGAGAGUUCUGUGAGAGCCAGAACCUUCCAAUUCCAAAGGCAAAAAGAAGAAAGAAAGAAAGAAAGAUUUUAAAAUUCAACAAUAGAAGCAUAUAAUACCACGGGGUUGAAUUCCAGCAGUGUUUACAUGUGGGUACAGCCAAUAAAUGACAGGCUGUUUGUCUCAUUCACACAUAUCGACACGUGAAUGUAUACGUAAGAUAUACACAUAGAUACACUCUCAAGUUUAUGUACAUAGUAGGUUUAUGCACAAAAUCAUGCAAUAUAUAUACAAAUGUACAUACACAUAUACACAUACUACUAGACAAAUACAACUUGCACUUUACUGUGUAUCAUUUAAUUGAGUGGAGGGAAAAUGUACACAAACACUAGCUAGGAUCCUGCCCAGGAAAGAAAAAGCAGAAACUGCAAAUAAAAGAAGGUCAAACCUGAUAGAGCUUAACACUGAAGAAGUACAUUUGAGGCAGUGCGUUUGCUUCCAGCUCCUAAUAGCUGUCCUCUGCCAGGCGAAGUCACACACAGUGUAAGCACUGUCCCAAGACAAUCCGACACUGAUACUUUUAAAGGAUUCUGGCUGGGAAACUCCCGCAGAGGGCGAGAGGCAGUGGAGGGGUGUGAGGCCAGCCGGCAGCAGCUGCCGGGUGAAGGGUCAGCCUUAGGGAGUGCCACGCGCAGGCCCGUGUCAGCGCCAGUCUUCACAGGAAACUAAAAGCGGGGGUUAGGGUCUUAAUUUCACAGAAAUGAAACUUGAAGGUUAACUCAUUUCUCCGUGACAUAUGGUUAAUCAGAUGACACAGUAAGGGAGAGAGAAUUUAAGCCACUUCAAUAUGUAGAUCCUUGGAGGGAUGAAAGAUGAUGACUGUAAAGAAUCUUUUUAGUGAAAGAACUAUGUAGACAAUACUGUGGAAAUCAGUUAUAUAAACUAACAAUGUGAAAACAUUAAUAAUUAAAUUGGGUCAUGGACAUCCUAGAGCAAAGCAAAAGAGGUAAGCCUAAAGUUAAAAACAGCAACAAAAACCAAAACAAACAAAACCAACCAGCUAAGCCAAACCCUCUAAGGUCAGGUAAUUAAAAAAAAAGACCUAUGGCCACUUACAUUAACCACAAAGUAAAAUAAAUUUUUAUGAGUAUUUUAUAUUUUAAUGAAAAAUAAAAGUAUAAACCUAAUAUCAUAGUUUAUUUCAGUCAUUCAAUAUUAUU
ensembl:lincRNA